AUUUUUCUCGUGUAAUCUGCUCAAGCUGUAGCCCAAAGGGGGCCCUGGAGUUUACUCAUCGUGAGGGAUUCAACAUGAACACAGCAAACAGAAGAGGCAGAGAGGGACCUCGUUCAUCCUUCACUGAUUUCAAAAGCUUGUAAAACACAAGUACUGCUGAGUUAUCCCUGUGUUCCUGCCCUUCAUCCGGUUCGUUUGCAGGAGGGAAUAAUGAUCUGUCACCAAGAAAAAAAAUACCAGCUAUCAGAUCUGUGUUUCCCAUCCACUCCUAAGACUCCUCAGUGCAGUGCCUGGAGGUGAUAGUGUGAACUCACUCAAGAAUGUGAAGGCAUUUUAUAAAUCAUUUGGUUCCAGAAGGAGGGGGAGAAAGGGAGAAGAUAGAGGGAUGAUAUAGUCUACAGCACAUACUCAGCAGUAACUCCCAACUGUCAAACUUCAGCAUUUUCUUCAGUUGCAACAGUGGUUAACAAAAAAAUAUUAAGACAGCAGACAUGAAAUGCACAUAUCAAGCAGCAUUUUUAAUCAACUGGCACCUUCCACUGCCCAAAUCUACCCGGACACUAUCACAACCCAGAAAAAAAGUUGUACAAGUGAAGAUAGGGCACAGAAAAAGGAGCAGAAAUGAACAACACAAACUGCUGUAAACAACUUGUGGCGCCCUUUUAUGUGCCAGAUAACAACAGCAGAGUGAAAGGAGUGUGUUUAUAAGUGUGGCUGACUCGCCUCACCUUCCUCCUGCCCCUUUUGCCGUGCUCACUACCCUGCUCCUGGGAAAAUAUUUGCAGACCAUUGCAAAUAAAAAUCUCCUUCUCACUUUCCAAGAAACGGAUCUGGUACUUUUCCAUUUCAGCCACACCAGAGCCAGGCUUCAGAGGGGAUUUUAUUCUCCAUGAGACUUGCCCUAAACUUUCUUUGCAGUUCCUUGCUAUCAACUUCUGCAAUUAAAAAGUAGUACCUGCAACUAAAAAAACAGUAUCUAAUUAUCUAUAGAAGGGAUGAAGCUUUUUCUGGGAGCUUGGUCUCACUAAAGUGCCCUUCCUGACAACAGCAGCAGUCCCCUGUGCUGCUUUCAGGAGCUGUGCACUGCAGUUCACAUGCAGCUCCCUGCUGGUGUAUACAGCUCCAGGUUUACAAAAUUAGGAUUACUUGGAAAGCACCUGAUUAACCCAAGAAUCUGCAACAUACGCAGACAUAUAGGUUUUUUCUGAGCGUGCAAACCAAGUAUGAGUAUGAAGGUUUGGAUCCAUUUGAAAGCAAACCAACCUUGAAAACCACAAGAUUCAUAAAGGCACUACGCCACAGGCAGAAAUCAGAAGAAGGUGUGAAAAAAUGACACACAUUUUCAUACUGUACAGAUCUAUUUGGAAAGGUCUGGGGUCAACAGAACACCUCCUGUGCUGGUCAGGAAGUCAAAGCAAAAGAACACUUUUUCUUUUGAAAAUGUGAGUGAGAAAGUGCAAUCCCUUAUCUACACUUGGACAUU